AAACUAAUAAAAUAGGAGGACAACGUUGAAAUUAACCUUAGUAUUGUAGAAUCACUUUUGAUGACAUUUACCUGCCAGUUGGAAAAUUGCAUUGGAACAUAAACACUAGAAAACAAAGAGUCUAUAACUAUACGCCAUCAUUAGUCUGUUUCCUUUUUCUGCCUUUGUUUUGGUUCUUUGUGUGUCUCUCUUUCAGUAGACUUUAAUGGGAACUCCCCAUGUUCCAUUUCUUUCCAUCAUAUUCUGCUACUGCUUCUGGAUACACAACAGUGUUCACAUCACUGGGGUCUCUGGCCAAAUUGUUGAGGAUCAAAAACAAUUGUUGCUCCAACUGAAGAACAGCCUCAAAUUCAAGCAUGAAAAAUCUCGCAAACUUGUGUCCUGGAAUUCAAGCACAGAUGGCUGUGAGUGGAAGGGUGUAAACUGUGAUGAGGGACAAGUUGUUGGCCUUGACCUGAGUGGAGAAUCAAUCAAUGGAGGAUUUGACAAUUCAAGUAGUCUUUUCAGUCUGCAAAAUCUCCAGAUACUUAAUUUGUCUGGUAAUAACUUCAGUUCUGAGAUACCAUCUGGAUUCAACAAGUUGAAGAACUUAAAAUAUCUGAAUUUAUCACAUGCUGGCUUUGUGGGGCAGAUUCCUAUAGAGAUUUCUUACCUGACAAGGUUGGUAACUCUAGACAUCUCUUCUUUUUCCUAUUUGUAUGGGCAACCACUGAAACUUGAAAACUUAGAUCUACAAAUGCUUGUUCAAAACCUCACCAUGAUUAAGCAAUUGUAUAUGGAUGGUGUAAUUGUAACACAGGGAAAUGCAUGGUGCAAUGCAUUGUUGAAACUAGUUAGCCUGCAGGAGCUGAGCAUGUCAAACUGCAAUCUUACUGGACCCCUUGAUUCUUCCCUAACAAGACUCGUGAAUUUAUCAAUCAUUCGUCUUGAUCAGAACAAUUUAUCAUCCCCGGUGCCAGAAACCUUUGCAAAUUUUCCAAAUUUAACAACCCUUCACCUAAGUUCUUGUGGAUUGACUGGAAAUUUUCCAAAGAAGAUUUUUCAGAUGACAACAUUGUCUGAUAUAGACUUAUCAUUCAAUUAUGUUCUUUAUGGAUCUUUGCCUGAAUUCCGACUGAAUGGUCCUCUUCGGACAUUGAUUGCAAGUCACACAAGGUUCUCGGGAGCAUUACCAGUUUCUAUAAGUAAUCUUGGGCAGUUAUCCACAUUAGAUCUUUCUAAUUCCCAUUUUAACGGAACACUACCUAGUUCAAUGUCAAGACUCAGGGAACUCACUUAUCUGCUCUUGUCAUUUAAUAACUUCACUGGUCCAAUUCCGUCCUUGAAUAUGUCCAGGAAUCUCAUCCAUUUAGACCUUUCACAUAACGAUUUCACAGGUUCAAUCACUUCUGUUCACUUGGAAGGCCUAAGAGAACUGGUCCUGGUUGAUUUACAGGACAAUUUACUGAAUGGAAGUCUUCCUUCCUCUCUAUUUUCUUUGCCAUUGCUACGAAGUAUACAACUUUCCAACAACAAUUUUCAGGGCCAGCUGAAUAAAGUUUCAAAUAUCUCUUCCUCCAUGUUAGAGAUCCUUGAUUUAGGUGGUAACAAUUUAGAAGGGCCCAUUCCUACAUAUAUUUAUAACCUCAGAUCACUGAAUGUCCUCGAACUAUCUUCAAACAAGUUAAAUGGCACAUUGAAGUUAGAUGUUAUUCGGGGACUCGUAAAUCUAACUACACUGGCUCUCUCACACAACGAUUUGUCAAUAGACACAAAUGUUAUGGAUGCAGGCCUUAUAUCUUCCAAGAUGUUAGCUGUAGAGUUGGCUUCAUGCAAUCUGAUAGAGUUUCCUAGUUUCCUGAGAAACCAAUCCCAAAUAACCACUUUAGAUCUCUCGAGCAACUAUAUUCAAGGAUCUAUACCAAAAUGGAUUUUGCAACUUGACUAUCUUGUUCAACUAAAUCUUUCUCACAAUUUUCUCAUCAAUUUAGAAGGACCUAUGCAGAACACUAGUUCCAAGUUGAGUCUCCUUGACCUCCACUCUAACCAACUCCAAGGGGAGCUUCCAAUGUUUCCAGUGCAUGCUACUUAUUUGGACUAUUCAAGCAAUAACUUCAGUUUCACUAUUCCAGAAGAGGUUGGUACUCAUCUGUCUCCCGCAAUUUUCCUGUCUCUUUCCAAAAACAGUUUAUCUGGUAGUAUUCCUCAAUUCUUGUGCAAUCAUUCAAGUCUGCUAGUACUGGAUGUUUCCUAUAAUCUCUUCAAUGGGACAAUUCCAGAGUGCUUAACACAGAGUGAGACACUCGUGGUAUUAAAUUUGCAACAUAACAAGUUCCAUGGCAGUAUUCCAGAUAAAUUUCCAGUAUCUUGUGCUCUGAAGACUCUGGAUUUCAAUAAUAAUCUAUUGAAAGGUACAAUUCCCAAAUCCCUUGCAAAUUGCACAUCAUUAGAGGUGUUGGAUCUUGGAAACAAUCAGGUAGAUGAUGGAUUUCCAGACUUCCUAAAUACAAUAUCCACACUUUGCUUGGUUUAUUGUGGUGAUAUGGGUUUUCUUGUAGGCCGGGGUGGCCGUCACUAAGGUAAGAGUACGGGCAGCUGAGCAAGUUGCUUGAGUUGCCGAGGUGGCAGGAAAUGCUGCCGGGAUGGCGUCCUCCGGCGCUGGGCCAGUCGCUCCCGCUGUCGAAGAAGUGGUCCCAGCCACUGAGCGGGCCUCCCAUGCUGCUGGGGCGAGGUCGGAGGUUCCCAUUGUGGACUCCCUGGAUGCUGAGCAGGGGACGUCGGUUUCUGCCUCCAUUGAGGCUCGCGGAGGGGCCCUGAGUUGGGAGGCUCCCCCGUCCACUGCUGUAGCCUCGGCGCCGCCUUCGAGCUCGCCAUAGGGGGCUUCCCGGAGCGGAU